rnacentral:rRNA from 1 species
CCUACGGGAGGCAGCAGUGAGGAAUAUUGGACAAUGGGCGCAAGCCUGAUCCAGCCAUGCCGCGUGCAGGAAGAAGCAUCUAUGGUGUGUAAACUGCUUUUGUACAGGAAGAAACACUCCCUCGUGAGGGAGCUUGACGGUACUGUAAGAAUAAGGACCGGCUAACUCCGUGCCAGCAGCCACGGUAAUACGGAGGGUCCGAGCGUUAUCCGGAAUCAUUGGGUUUAAAGGGUCCGUAGGCGGUUUAAUAAGUCAGUGGUGAAAUCUGGUCGCUCAACGAUCAAACGGCCAUUGAUACUGUUAGACUUGAAUUAUAAGGAAGUAACUAGAAUAUGUAGUGUAGCGGUGAAAUGCUUAGAUAUUACAUGGAAUACCAAUUGCGAAGGCAGGUUACUACUUAUGGAUUGACGCUGAUGGACGAAAGCGUGGGGAGCGAACAGGAUUAGAUACCCUGGUAGUCCACGCCGUAAACGAUGGAUACUAGCUGUUCGGAGCAAAUCUGAGUGGNGUAAGAGAAAGUAGAUAAGUAAUACCACCUACGGGAGGUACGGUUCGUCGAAGAAAGUAGAAACGUAACGAAAAGGAAAAGUUAGUAACGGACGUGAGACGUAGACCGAACGGACGACGACGAGGGGAGGGAGGGAG